GGGUUGUGAGGUUAAGCGACUAAGCGUACACGGUGGAUGCCCUGGCAGUCAGAGGCGAUGAAGGGCGUGCUAAUCUGCGAUAAGCGCCGGUAAGGUGAUAUGAACCGUUAUAACCGGCGAUACCCGAAUGGGGAAACCCAGUGUGAUUCGUCACACUAUCAUUAACUGAAUCCAUAGGUUAAUGAGGCGAACCGGGGGAACUGAAACAUCUAAGUACCCCGAGGAAAAGAAAUCAACCGAGAUUCCCCCAGUAGCGGCGAGCGAACGGGGAGGAGCCCAGAGCCUGAAUCAGCAUGUGUGUUAGUGGAAGCGUCUGGAAAGGCGCGCGAUACAGGGUGACAGCCCCGUACACAAAAGCGCAUGUGCUGUGAGCUCGAUGAGUAGGGCGGGACACGUGGUAUCCUGUCUGAAUAUGGGGGGACCAUCCUCCAAGGCUAAAUACUCCUGACUGACCGAUAGUGAACCAGUACCGUGAGGGAAAGGCGAAAAGAACCCCGGCGAGGGGAGUGAAAAAGAACCUGAAACCGUGUACGUACAAGCAGUGGGAGCNNNNNNNNNNNNNNNNNNNNNNNNNNNNNNNNNNNNNNNNNNNNNNNNNNNNNNNNNNNNGGGCGUUAAGUUGCAGGGUAUAGACCCGAAACCCGGUGAUCUAGCCAUGGGCAGGUUGAAGGUUGGGUAACACUAACUGGAGGACCGAACCGACUAAUGUUGAAAAAUUAGCGGAUGACCUGUGGCUGGGGGUGAAAGGCCAAUCAAACCGGGAGAUAGCUGGUUCUCCCCGAAAGCUAUUUAGGUAGCGCCUCGUGAAUUCAUCUCCGGGGGUAGAGCACUGUUUCGGCUAGGGGGCCAUCCCGGCUUACCAACCCGAUGCAAACUGCGAAUACCGGAGAAUGUUAUCACGGGAGACACACGGCGGGUGCUAACGUCCGUCGUGAAGAGGGAAACAACCCAGACCGCCAGCUAAGGUCCCAAAGUCAUGGUUAAGUGGGAAACGAUGUGGGAAGGCCCAGACAGCCAGGAUGUUGGCUUAGAAGCAGCCAUCAUUUAAAGAAAGCGUAAUAGCUCACUGGUCGAGUCGGCCUGCGCGGAAGAUGUAACGGGGCUAAACCAUGCACCGAAGCUGCGGCAGCGACACUGUGUGUUGUUGGGUAGGGGAGCGUUCUGUAAGCCUGCGAAGGUGGCCUGUGAGGGUUGCUGGAGGUAUCAGAAGUGCGAAUGCUGACAUAAGUAACGAUAAAGCGGGUGAAAAGCCCGCUCGCCGGAAGACCAAGGGUUCCUGUCCAACGUUAAUCGGGGCAGGGUGAGUCGACCCCUAAGGCGAGGCCGAAAGGCGUAGUCGAUGGGAAACGGGUUAAUAUUCCCGUACUUGGUGUUACUGCGAAGGGGGGACGGAGAAGGCUAUGUUGGCCGGGCGACGGUUGUCCCGGUUUAAGCGUGUAGGUGUGUGUUCCAGGUAAAUCCGGUUCACUUUAACACUGAGGCGUGACGACGAGGCACUACGGUGCUGAAGCAACAAAUGCCCUGCUUCCAGGAAAAGCCUCUAAGCAUCAGGUAACAUCAAAUCGUACCCCAAACCGACACAGGUGGUCAGGUAGAGAAUACCAAGGCGCUUGAGAGAACUCGGGUGAAGGAACUAGGCAAAAUGGUGCCGUAACUUCGGGAGAAGGCACGCUGACACGUAGGUGAAGUGAUUUACUCAUGGAGCUGAAGUCAGUCGAAGAUACCAGCUGGCUGCAACUGUUUAUUAAAAACACAGCACUGUGCAAACACGAAAGUGGACGUAUACGGUGUGACGCCUGCCCGGUGCCGGAAGGUUAAUUGAUGGGGUCAGCGCAAGCGAAGCUCCUGAUCGAAGCCCCGGUAAACGGCGGCCGUAACUAUAACGGUCCUAAGGUAGCGAAAUUCCUUGUCGGGUAAGUUCCGACCUGCACGAAUGGCGUAAUGAUGGCCAGGCUGUCUCCACCCGAGACUCAGUGAAAUUGAACUCGCUGUGAAGAUGCAGUGUACCCGCGGCAAGACGGAAAGACCCCGUGAACCUUUACUAUAGCUUGACACUGAACAUUGAGCCUUGAUGUGUAGGAUAGGUGGGAGGCUUUGAAGUGUGGACGCCAGUCUGCAUGGAGCCGACCUUGAAAUACCACCCUUUAAUGUUUGAUGUUCUAACGUGGACCCGUUACCCGGGUUGCGGACAGUGUCUGGUGGGUAGUUUGACUGGGGCGGUCUCCUCCUAAAGAGUAACGGAGGAGCACGAAGGUUGGCUAAUCCUGGUCGGACAUCAGGAGGUUAGUGCAAUGGCAUAAGCCAGCUUGACUGCGAGCGUGACGGCGCGAGCAGGUGCGAAAGCAGGUCAUAGUGAUCCGGUGGUUCUGAAUGGAAGGGCCAUCGCUCAACGGAUAAAAGGUACUCCGGGGAUAACAGGCUGAUACCGCCCAAGAGUUCAUAUCGACGGCGGUGUUUGGCACCUCGAUGUCGGCUCAUCACAUCCUGGGGCUGAAGUAGGUCCCAAGGGUAUGGCUGUUCGCCAUUUAAAGUGGUACGCGAGCUGGGUUUAGAACGUCGUGAGACAGUUCGGUCCCUAUCUGCCGUGGGCGCUGGAGAACUGAGGGGGGCUGCUCCUAGUACGAGAGGACCGGAGUGGACGCAUCACUGGUGUUCGGGUUGUCAUGCCAAUGGCACUGCCCGGUAGCUAAAUGCGGAAGAGAUAAGUGCUGAAAGCAUCUAAGCACGAAACUUGCCCCGAGAUGAGUUCUCCCUGAGACUUAGAGUCUCCUGAAGGAACGUUGAAGACGACGACGUUGAUAGGCCGGGUGUGUAAGCGCAGCGAUGCGUUGAGCUAACCGGUACUAAUGAACCGUGAGGCUUAACCUUACAACGCCGAAG
rnacentral:rRNA from 1 species